rnacentral:rRNA from 1 species
GACGAACGCUGGCGGCGUGCCUAACACAUGCAAGUCGAGCGGGGUCCAUCCAGUGGCAACACUGGGGAAGACCUAGCGGCGAACGGGUGAGUAACACGUGAGGAACCUGCCCCCGAAGACCGGGAUAACCCGAGGAAACUCGAGCUAAUACCGGAUACCCCCACGAGAUCGCAUGGUCUUGUGAGGAAAUGUCUUUUCGCUUCGGGAGGGCCUCGCGGCCUAUCAGCUUGUUGGCGGGGUAACGCCCACCAAGGCAUCGACGGGUAGCUGGUCUGAGAGGACGAUCAGCCACACUGGGACUGAGACACGGCCCAGACUCCUACGGGAGGCAGCAGUGGGGAAUCUUGCGCAAUGGGCGAAAGCCUGACGCAGCAACGCCGCGUGGGGGACGAAGGCUCUCGGGUUGUAAACCCCUUUCAGGAGGGACGAAAUUGACGGUACCUCCAGAAGAAGCCCCGGCCAACUACGUGCCAGCAGCCGCGGUAAU